CAUCAAGAAGCUUUUUAAGCACUAGCCUUUUAAGCUAGAGAAGGGACCACCACCACCCCAUGAUGA
rnacentral:tRNA from 1 species